rnacentral:rRNA from 1 species
GAUCAUGGCUCAGGAUGAACGCUAGCGGCAGGCUUAACACAUGCAAGUCGAGGGCAGCAUGAAGGUUAGCAAUAACCUUUGAUGGCGACCGGCGCAAGGGUGCGUAACGCGUGAGCAACUUGCCCGUUUCAGGGGGAUAACCGGUGGAAACGCCGACUAAUACCCCAUGGCAUCAUUGGGAGGCAUCUCCUUAUGAUUAAAGAAUUUCGGAAACGGAUAGGCUCGCGUGACAUUAGGUAGAUGGCGGGGUAACGGCCCACCAUGCCUACGAUGUCUAGGGGUUCUGAGAGGAAGGUCCCCCACACUGGAACUGAGACACGGUCCAGACUCCUACGGGAGGCAGCAGUGAGGAAUAUUGGUCAAUGGAGGCAACUCUGAACCAGCCAAGUAGCGUGAGGGAUGACUGCCCUACGGGUUGUAAACCUCUUUUGUCGGGGAAUAAACCGCGCCACGUGUGGCGCCCUGCAUGUACCCGCAGAAUAAGGACCGGCUAAUUCCGUG